GUGAAUCAUCAAAUUUUUGAACGCAAAUUGCACUUUCUGGUAUUCCGGUGAGUAUGCCUGUUUGCGGGUUAGCUUAAAUAAAAAUCGGUGUGGUUGCUGCCUUUCGUGGUGACGCACCGGAUUUGGGUCGUUUUGCCUUCGGUUAAGUGACCUAACAUUUUGCAUGUUUUUUUUCGAACGUAUUUAAAUGAUUUUAUGUAUGUUUGUGAUAUAGAAUACUAGGCGCGGUGAUCCUCA
rnacentral:misc_RNA from 1 species